GGGAAAACACAACGCCCAAGUGUGAGAACAAAUAUGAUAAAGACAGAAGUACCUCGGGAAUUCUUGAGCCGAAUCUUCGCAAGCCUAUUUUUCAACAUGGCAUUGUCUUGCGAUUUGGGUCCGGUGUUCAUCCGGGGUGAUGUUAUCAUCGCAACCGGAGAACAACACAUAUGCAGAGUGAUAUAGUUAGUGAUGCUACCAAGAUUCGUCAUUACAAUAACUUUCUUGUUUCCUAAUUAAACCUAGGCACAUUAUCUCACCCUUAACUCACAUUUUCCGGCACCCACACCUGCUUCCUCUCCUUGUCCCCAUCAUAGCUCGGCCUCGUCAUUGUCGUCUUUGGCCUCGAGCUCGGCACGGCUUCCUUCCAAAUCGACUUGCACCCCCCAAAAAUUCAGUUGACUUGCAAAUAGCCCGCGCAAAACUAUUUUGGGCCACUUAUCACAAUGAGUGUUGAGUGCAUGCAGGUUCUGACCAUCUAAUCACUAUCAGCAUCUGCUUCCUCUUUCCACUAUUUUCCAGUUAUCGUCAAGUUCAUCUCUGCCCACAUGGUCAUCUUGGUUCUUUCAUGCCUCUUUGAUCACCCCAACUCUAUGUUGGCUACACCAUUAGAAACUAAAUUUGAAACAAUACAUAGAAGGCAUACUUGUCCAAAAAACACCCUUUAAUAAAGUGACUAUGUGACCUGCAUAUCGUUGCUGUCGGGUUAUGUUCAGGGUCAGAAUUUCAAGCAAGUUCAAGUGACUAAGUGAUGGGGUUCAAUCUUCAUAGUUGUAAGCUCAAAUAUGAAAAGAGCUUAAAUAUACGAAGUAGUGUGCUGUUCUCACAAAUUUAAAUCUAUUGCUAGUUGCUUAGCCAUGAAUGGCAAUAAAAGUAGUUUCUCAACUCCCUAAUUACAGUUGACACAUCAAAUACCAUUUAAUAAUGUGCAUAGUAAAACAACUUCUAAAUCUGGACAUACUCCUUUGAGUAUUUUUAACUGGACACAACAGAUAAUGUGUGUUAAUGGUCGUAAGUUCCUACCAAUACUUUUUUUGACAGAACCUAUGCUUAUAUAUAAAUACUGGAUUACUUAACAAAGUCAUUUGCAUAUACACCAUACUAACCACCCAGGUUUCAGAAAUACCUAACACUCUAGCGAGGAAACAAGAUCAUAAGCUACACAAAUUGCUACUUCUCUCAACUUUGAAGCACACACACGACUCACACAUACUCUUAAUCAUCCUAGACUCAGCAAAGGUCAUACAUGAGGUCGACAGAUCCUGAUAGUUAGAGUUGACAGAAUUGAUAACUACAAUAUUUCGACAGCAUUGGGAGAGGCUGCAUUAAACCCUCCAAGAAAGUUGCAACUUCAGCUACCUAUGUUGUUCCAGAUAUUCAAUAUACACGUAGCAGAUAGAAUAGUUAUACUACGUAGAUUUCGGGCAAUAAUAACUGCUCUAGCAACCCCAGUAUUAGGGAUAAAAGAUGCAUCAAUAUUCACCUUAGUCGUAUCUUUAUCAGGAGGCUUCUUGUCACGACCGGUUUUCCAAUAAAAAUAUUUAUUGAGAAACCAAUCUUUUGAGUCCAGUAUGAGAGAAAUACUCCUCACUGGUAGACAAUUUCUUGAUACAAUAAGCCAGUAGCAAAAAAUAUAUUACAGGGUCGAACUACGGUUGCUCAACCAAAUUAUUACAAGCACGCCAAUAAUUAUACAUAAUGGCGGACAUGUCACAGUGGUGUGGAGGCAUACUACUGACUCGAGGAUAGGGCGGUGGUGGAAAAACACAGCGGGGAGAGAAAUACAAGACUCUAAGUCUAUCAUCUCAUCGAGCGUCGAGGUGAGGCUCGAUGAAUUUAUUUGGUAGCGGAAGCGGAUAUAAAACAGUGACCAAAUCCAGGGUCGCACGAGACUGACUGGGACUCCUCUAAGUGUCGGACUCGCUAUCAAACUCUUCAUCCAUGAGAUCGCCUUCGUUAGCAUCUGGCCAAAUCAACAAGCCAGUGAGUACUUUGAAAGUACUCGCAAGACAGUUCGGACGUAAGAUAUAACAAAUGCAUGCAUGGAUGCGACAUGAAUAAAUUCACCAAUGUACAUUUUCAAAAAUUAGCAUAACAAGGUAAGUAAAAGGGGAACGGCGGUAGUCCGCCUGAAAUCCCAACAGAACAUAAAUAAUUACCGAUCGGGUGUCUGAAGCGACGCCUCGAAAGGUGAACAAAUAAGUAUAAGGAAAAUGAUGCCACAGUCGGGCGUCUUAGCGACACCACAUAAAGGGCUUAAAAAGAAAUACCACAGUCGGACAUCGGGGCGACGUCACAGAAAGGGUUUUAAAAGAAAUGCCACAGUCGGACAUCGGGGCAACAUCACAGAAAGGGCUUUAAAAUAAAUGCCACAGUCGGACGUCAGGACGACAUCACAGAAAGGGCUUUAAAAGAAAUGCCACAGUCGGACGUCGGGACGACAUCACAGAAAGGGCUUUAAAAGAAAUACCACAGUCAGACGUCGGGGCGACAUCNNNNNNNNNNNNNNNNNNNNNNNNNNNNNNNNNNNNNNNNNNNNNNNNNNNNNNNNNNNNNNNNNNNNNNNNNNNNNNNNNNNNNNNNNNNNNNNNNNNNNNNNNNNNNNNNNNNNNNNNNNNNNNNNNNNNNNNNNNNNNNNNNNNNNNNNNNNNNNNNNNNNNNNNNNNNNNNNNNNNNNNNNNNNNNNNNNNNNNNNNNNNNNNNNNNNNNNNNNNNNNNNNNNNNNNNNNNNNNNNNNNNNNNNNNNNNNNNNNNNNNNNNNNNNNNNNNNNNNNNNNNNNNNNNNNNNNNNNNNNNNNNNNNNNNNNNNNNNNNNNNNNNNNNNNNNNNNNNNNNNNNNNNNNNNNNNNNNNNNNNNNNNNNNNGUGAACAAAUAAGUAUAAGGAAAAUGAUGCCACAGUCGGGCGUCUUAGCGACACCACAUAAAGGGCUUAAAAAGAAAUACCACAGUCGGACAUCGGGGCGACGUCACAGAAAGGGCUUUAAAAGAAAUGCCACAGUCGGACGUCGGGACGACAUCACAGAAAGGGCUUUAAAAGAAAUACCACAGUCAGACGUCGGGGCGACAUCACAGAAAGGGCUUUAAAAGAAAUGCCACAGUCAGACAUCGGGGCGACAUCACAGAAAGGGCUUUGAUUCACAAGUAAAUAAUACUCAUAAUAAACAUUUAAUUCAUGAGAAUAAAUGGGUUAGUCCAUCCACAGGAAUAUUCAAUUAACCGGAAUUAGCACUCAUGCGAAUCACCGGAGUCUCUGUCAUCAAAACUGACAUUUGAUUAGGAUAAGAUAAUAUCGAUCUAGGACAUGGAAUAGAUGAUUUUGAGGAAAUAUAUGACUCUGCAGAGUUUGUACAAAAUUAUUCCCACAGCCAACGGAUUUCCAUAGUCACUAAGGGCUAGUUCCGUUUACGGUAUUUCGGAAGAAAACACAGCUAACCAGUACACACCCAUCCUACCUCUCGAUGCUAGGAAUCACCCUAGACAUCGUCCAAGAAAAACUUUUGAGACGGGGAGAUCACAAUCUCGAAUAACAUGGGAUCAAAUUUAUAUACGCGCGCUCUAAGGGGUGCCCCCCCUCUCGGUCCCAACCGGAAACACCCAUGCCCCCUGACCGGAUGACUGGCUUUAAUACAGGGCCAUGGAACCAUCAUCACGGCCUCUCCUUUUGCUGUGUACCAGAAAAGCAGUUUGCAACUUACUAAACCAUAUUCCUUGCGGACAACAUGUGGUAGUACAGGGAAGGAAAUGAGAGGAACUGGACCGAUACGGUUUGACACUGAAGUCACAUAGUCUGUCAUAAGACUAGCAUGCUACGACACUGCCAUCUUACCCAUCCUCAUGCCAACACAUGGCCAUUCAUACUCACAUCCAUCCACUUAUGGAUCAUCGAACUCACUUACCUCAUUAUCGCAUAAAAUAACAUUCAUUGAUAUGCUUCUCAACAUGCUAUGAAACUAACUAAAUGCAAAACAUGCCAAGACACUCAUCAUAUCAAAAGUUCAAACAUGCUUGCCUGGUUCAGAGUAGUCGGAGCCUAGCUCGGUGAAGUUCGCGGCUCCGUCACCUCCUUCGGUAUCUACGGUAUAAAGAAAAUAUAUGCGCUAUCGUAAAUACCAAGGAGUGCACAGAAAGUAUACCAAAUAUUUUUCAAAUAAAUCUGAUAAAAAACUAGACAAAAUUUUGAAGAGAACAGAAAAAGAAUCAAUCAAAAAUACUUUUCUGCUUAAAAGUUAUAAGGGUUUUUGCCCAGGGACUAAUCUGUAAUGAAACAGAAGAUUUCUAGGGGCUAGCUUAUAAAAACAGAAAAUGCUUCGGCAGAAACUACGCCAGCCCAAAGGGAAAACGUACUUUGCCCGAAGGCGCUUCCAGAAAACGUUUCAACAGCGAGAGCAGAGAGGCUGACGGUGGGGUCCCACGCGUCAGGUUUGAAUUUCAAAAAGGGGGUGCGAAGCUCGUCGGCGCCCGAGAGCCGCGGUGGUCGCCGGCGGCGAUCCACGGUGAGGUAGGGGGAUUGGAGGGUACCUCCGUGCUCAGGGCGCCAUUCCGCGUCGGUUGGUGGUGGUGGUGGUCGCCGGCGAGUACCACGUCGACGGCGAGCUUUGCUCCGGCGGACGGCGGCUCGGGUGGUCGAGGAACUCGUCGGAGAGAGCUGCAGAGAUCAAAUUGACAAGGGGGUUAGGCUCCUGGUAGCUAGAGAGGGUAACGGACGGGGUUUGGGCGCCGGAGGUGGCCUCACCGGAGCGAAUCGAGGUGGCGGCCGAGGCGGAUCGGGGCGGCCGGAGUUGGGUGGGGAGACCUCCUCGGGGUCCCCCUAGUGGCCUGGCGUGGCGUUGGUGAGGAGUGGGGAUGAGGCGUGCACGAGGGUGAGCUCGGGGGCCCUUUUUAUAGGCAGCCCGAGGCGGUUGCCGUGAACGGGGAUCUCCGGCGAGUGAUUACGGCGGUGCCGGGGAUGUGCAGGGGGAUUAGGGCUAGGGCUUCGUCGUUGAGGUCCACCGGUCCCAUUUAGGCGCUAAACGGGCUGGGACUUGGUGCUGAGGGUGAGGUCGACGGAACGGGGGUGGCGCGGCACGUCGGCGGCAGGGAGCACGUUCCGUGCUUGCGGGGCCACGGCGAUGGUGCCACGGGCGUGCGCUGGCACGGCAGGGACACGCGGAGAGCCAAGGGGCUUUGGGCGGCGCCGGGUGGCGUGGCGAGAGGGCUCGGGCCCUUGUUGGCCGCCACGGGAGGUGCAGCCACCGCAGAAGCUCCCAACACCGGCGAGGCUCGCUGCUACCGACGCCAGGAAGGCUCCACGCACGCGUGUGAAGCUCCGGACAGGAGGGAGAGGCUGCGAGGAACGUGCCAAGUGCACUGUCUACGCGUGAGAGGAACUGACGAAUGCAAACGACACUGAAACUGAAUUUUUCUGAAUUUUGAACAGCAGCAGUGCAUGCAAGGUGUUCGACAGAAUGAAAUUGGCAUCUAGGGAUUUUCCUUGAGCUGAAAUUUGGUGGAGUGGCUUCUCAUUGCUCAAGUAGGCUGCCUGAAUUUUGGUGGAAUUUUUGGGGAAGUGUAGAUAUGAAUUUCAUCAAAUUUGGCAAAUCUAGUCCAAACUUGCAGAGAAUGAAUUUUGAAAAUUUUGAAAAGAGGAGGAGUGGAUCAAGAUGGUUCUGGGUUGUGGGUACAAAGGACUAUCCAGGAGAGUUGGUUUGAGGUCAAAACUCAAAUGCAAUAUGGUACUUGCUUUGAAAAUCCCUCAGGCUCCAAAUAAUUUUCAGAUUUGUUUUGAGAGGAAAAAUAAUUAGAAUAAAAUCCAAAACUUGUUUGGAUUAGUUGGGACAGAGGACUUAGGUUGAUCACAAGGUGUAGGGGAGGUUUUGGACGGGUUUUACCACAUGGGAACAAUGCAAAGUCAAGGGUGAUUCCAAGAUAUGAAAAUCCCCAAAUUUUCAUAGAGUUUCAUUUUAAAAGUAGACAAUUUAAACUCCCAAAAAUAAAUUUGAGAGAGAACCAACAGAGAAGAAGUUUCAAAAGAUCAAACACCAAAGUUUGAAAAAAUAAUAUCCUUGCCAAAGCAAAGGAAGUUUUUAAGUGGAAGGUUUUUCUGAAAAAGAAAAAUUUUAAAAAGCCUCUCCUCAAAAACCACAAAGUUUUUUUGAUAAAAACCAAAUAAAAAUUUUGGAGUGUCACAACACCUACCCCCUUAGGAAAAAUCUCGUCCCCGAGAUUUCAGCUGAUCCUUAAAUAGGUGUGGAUGCUCUGUCCAAAGAAAAUCCUCGCUUUCCCAAGUUGCUUCACUGUCGGUGUGAUUGCUCCACUGGACUUUGAAAAACUUGAUGGUCUUCUGUCGGGUCCUCCUUUCAGAUUCCUCUAAUAUUCUUACGGGACGUUCUCGAUAAGUGAGGUCUGGCUGCACAUCAAUGUUUUCAUGGGAUACUUAUUUCUCUGGGUUGCUUACGUACUUCCUUAAUUGAGAGACGUGGAACACGUCGUGAAUGUCGGACAAGUCUUCGGGUAAGUCUAGCUGGUAGGCUACAGUACCUCUUCGUGCCACUAUGCAGAAUGGUCCAAUGAAUCUUGGUGCUAACUUUCCUUUAAUCUUAAACCGUUGCAAUCCCCUCAUCGGGGACACUCUCAGGUAUACGAACUCACCGGGUUCGAAGCUGACCCUACGAUGUUUCUGAUCAUAAUAACUCUUCUGUCGACUUUGAGCGGUCUUAAGUCGGUCUCUGAUUAGCUUGACCUUUUCCUCGGCUUCUCUGAGCAUGUCUGGUCCGAAGAUGCGGCUGUCCCCGGUCUCUGACCAAUUUAACGGGGUUCGACACCUUCGUCCGUAUAAGGCCUCAAAUGGUGCCAUUUGUAGGCUGGCCUGGUAGCUAUUGUUAUACGCGAACUCGGCGUAUGGCAGGCUUUCUUCCCAACUGGUCCCAUAUGUGAGGACACAUGCUCUCAGCAUGUCUUCUAAAACCUGGUUUACGCGUUCCGUUUGUCCAUCAGUCUGUGGGUGGUAUGCGGUACUGAAGGCUAGUUGGGUUCCCAGAGCCUGUUGUAAAUGCUCCCAAAAUCUUGAGACGAACUGAGUGCCUCUGUCAGAUAUUAUAGUCUUCGGGACACCGUGCAGACAAACUAUGCGGGAGAGAUAAAUCCUGGCAAGCCUCUGAGUGUUGUAGGUCGUCUUCACUGGAAUAAAGUGUGCCACUUUGGUCAACCUGUCAGUGAUGACCCAUAUGGCAUCAUUCCCGUGUCGUGACCGAGGUAGUCCGACAAUAAAAUCCAUCCCUAUUUCAUCCCAUUUCCACUCAGGUAUUUUGUUAGGUUGCAGUAGUCCGGCUGGUCUCUGAUGUUCAGCUUUUAUGCGUUGACAUGAGUCGCAACAUGCAAUGAAGGCGGCUAUGUCCCUCUUCAUACCGUGCCACCAAAAUCUUUCCUGAAUAUCCUUAUACAUUUUGGUUCCUCCAGGGUGGAUCGAAUAUGGAGUGGUGUGUGCUUCAGCUAAAAUUUGCUGUAUAAGGUCUUCUAUGUUUGGCACGCAUAGCCUUUCUCCGUACCAUAAUAUUCCUUCAUUGUCUAUGACGAAUUCCGAGGCCUUGCCUAUACUCAACUUUCUUUUAAUUCCUUCAAUGCUGGGGUGACCGGGCUGAGCUUCUUUAAUUUUCUCCACAAGGUUGGGUUGUAUUUCCAAGUUUGAUAUGGUGCCUUCUGCUACCAUUAUCAAGUUGAGCUUGGCAAAUUCUUGAUGGAAUUCGGGCCUCAAGCUGUGCAGAUAGUUUCCGUCGGAGCUGGGGUUCCGACUCAGGGCAUCGGCCACUACAUUUGCUUUCCCUGGAUGGUAAUGGAUACCAACAUCAUAAUCCUUUACCAAUUCCAACCAGCGUCGUUGCCGUAAAUUUAGUUCUGGCUGCGUGAAAAUAUAUUUGAGACUUUUGUGAUCCGUAUAUAUUUCACAUCAAUUCCCAAGUAAGAAAUGCCUCCAUUCCUUGAGUGCAUGAAUAACUGCUGCCAUUUCUAAGUCAUGAGUGGGAUAAUUUUCCUCAUGCUUGCGAAGUUGCCUUGAAGUGUAGGCGACAACCUUGCUUUCUUGCAUCAACACGCAUCCGAGACCCUUUCUGGACGCGUCACAAUAUACUUCAAAAUUCUUGUGUAUGUCGGGUACAAUUAAUACCGGUGCUGUUGUUAACUUCCGCUUUAGCUCUUGGAAACUUUUCUCGCAGGCUUCUGUCCAUUCAAACUUCUUAUCUUUCUUGAGCAACUGUGUCAUAGGCUUGGCUAUGGUGGAAAAUCCCUCAAUAAAUCUGCGGUAAUAUCCUGCCAUUCCCAAGAAACUCCGUAUGUCCGUUACGCUGGCCGGUGACUUCCAGCCAAGUACGGCCUUGACUUUCUCUGGGUCCACUGCGAUACCGUCUUGAGUCAGCACGUGGCCUAGAAAGCCUACUUGUCUUAGCCAAAAUUCGCACUUGCUGAACUUGGCAUACAAUUGGUGUUUUCUUAGCUCUCCUAGCACAAUCCUGAGAUGUUCUGCGUGCUCUUCUGGUGUCUUGGAGUAUACCAGAAUAUCGUCGAUGAAUACCACGACGAACUUGUCCAUAAACUUCAUAAAUACUUUGUUCAUGAGGUGAACAAAAUACGCUGGGGCGUUAGUUAAUCCAAAUGGCAUCACUGUGAACUCGUACAAUCCAUAUCUGGAGGUGAAGGCUGUUUUGGGGAUAUCUUCCGUUCGUACCUUCAAUUGAUGGUAUCCUGACCUUAAGUCAAUUUCUGAGAAUACCUUGGCCUGAGCAAGUUGAUCAAACAAAUCGUUUAUCCUUGGCAUCGGGUAUUUGUUUUUGACUGUGACCAUGUUAAGUGCUCGAUAGUCAACACACAAUCUCAGCGUUCCAUCCUUCUUUUUGGCAAAUAAAAUUGGUGAUCCCCAAGGUGAGGAGCUGGCUCAAAUGUAUCCUUUUUCCAGUAAUUCCUUUAUUUGCUUCUUCAACUCGAUCAACUCGGAUGGUGCCAUUCUGUAUGGUUUCUUGUAUAUGGGGGUGGUUCCUGGUGCUAGCUCAAUGCGGAAUUCUAUUUCUCGGUCUGGUGGCAUGCCUGGCAGCUCUUCAGGGAAUACAUCUGGAAAUUCACACACUACUGGAACCUUGUUUAGCUCAGAAACGUCCACCUUAUUUAAUCUCGGUUGCCGGGGUAUUUUUCCUUCCUUGGCUGAUACUCUUAUUGUCUUCCCUUGGUGGUGUGUGAGAAUUACGGUCCUGUUGAAACAGUCGAUAAAACCCUUAUUGGUGGUUAGCCAAUCCAUCCCUAGGAUGACAUCCAGUCCUUUAUUUUCCUAUACAAUAAGAUUUGCGUGAAACUCCAAUCCUUCGAACUCAAUGACCACAUUCUGACAGUAAUUCUGAGUAACUUGUUGAAUCCCAGGGGACUUGAUGGUCAUGGAUUUCUCCAAAGGAAGCAUCGAAAAAUUAUUUUGCAAAGCAAAACUUUUCGAAAUGAAAGAGUGAGAGCCUCCAGAAUCAAACAAAACCAUUGCAGGUAUUGUGUUGACAGGAAACGUACCGAGUAUGAUAUCCGGAGCAUUUUGUGCCUCCUCUUUGGUUACAUGGUUCAGAUGACCCUUCCUGUGGUUAUUGUUGGGAUUGAAAUUGUUUCGCUUGGGCGCUGAAUUAUUGCCGCCGUUGUUUGGCUUUGGGGUUGAACUCCUUGGCUUGGGGCACUGUUUGGCAUAGUGCCCUUCUUCUCCACAAGCGUAACAAGUAACGCCGGGGCGAUAGGUGAAUUCCUUGUCCCUUGCAUGAAAAUUCUUGAUUAGGCGUGAGACAUUGGAUGAGAAUUUGUGUGUCCCACCCUUUUGAAAAUUUGUCUUGCUUCGGUGAUUGCGAGCGUGAUUAGUCUGGUCCCUUUUUCGCUUGCGGAUAUCUUCCAGACUGCGUCUCUCAUUUUCCAGAGUAAUGGCUUUGUCCACCAGUGUUUUAAAAUCAGGAAAAGUGUGCACGACCAGUUGGCAUUUAAGCGCGGGCGCCAGACCGUCAAGGAAUUUCUCCAUCUUCUUGAUUUCAGUCAUACACUCCUCAUUGGCGUAGCGGGACAAUAGGGUAAAUUGACUGUUGUAAUCUGACACUGUCAUGUUCCUUUGUUUGAGGUCAUCGAAUUCUCUCUUCUUGAUUUUCAUAAUACUCUUAGGAAUAUGUGCACCACGGAAACCUUCCUUGAAAUCAUCCCAGGUUAUGUCAUUUUCGUUGGGAUGCAUGUGCAGAAAAUUCUCCCACCAUGAUGCGGCUGCUCCUGUGAGAUAGUGUGGAGCAUAUAGUACUUUCUCGAGAUCUGAACAUUUUGCAAUAAUUAAUUUCCUCUCCAUAUCUUGAAGCCAGUCCUCGGCUUCAAGAGGCUUGUCAGUGUGAGAAAAUGUUUGAGGACGUGUCUUCUGUAGCUCAGAUAACUUGGAAUGCUGCUGAUACUGUCCAUGAUGAUUCCCCAUGUUGAUGACUUGGUUCAUCAUCUCACGAUGUUGUUGCUGACUCUGCUCAUAAAGGCGGCACAUUUGUGAAAGUGCCGAUUCACUGCCCUGUUGGCUUGACUGUCCCUGAGUGAACUCGUUGCUAGGUUGUGUAUCAUAAUUUUCCUCUGGUGGAGUUGGCAUGGAGCGUGUCCAAGGACGAGACAUUUUUCACUCUGGGGAUGUAUUUUUGUAAAACUCAUAAGAAAAGCGGAAAGAGUCGCAAAACAAAACCAUAAAUGCAUAAAGCUGGCAGAUAGAAUUAAAUAACUCGGCUUACUUAAGAAAAACAAAUCGACUUGCGCACGGAGAAGGACUGCUCAUUACAUAUCUUACACGCGGGCGGUAAUUAUACAAUACAUCACUCAGGAUAUGCGUACAUAAUCCUGACAUGUUAUUUAGGCUAGUGCACUUCUCCAGAUCCUACAUGAUGCGCAAACAGGCUACUUCUCACAACCUAUGUACAUAUCUUACAAAGCGGUACAAUACACGGUAGCUAAGCAUACUCAGGCAGAGAUGUUGACGACCUCCUUUGCCCUGCCGAGGGCGAGGCGUAGCGAGGUUGGGGACUCGACUUCCUCCUCGCUAAUAGGCUCCAUACGUGUAGUGUUGCGCAGAGUGGACGGAGCGGUUGCCAGGGGCGGAGCAACACGUACAGGAGUGGGCGCGAAGGGUGGUGCAGUGCGCGCUGGAGUGGGUGCAAUGACUUGGUUGAAUUCUUCGGUAGAAGGCAGACGACGAGUAGGCGUAAAAGAUGCUGAGGACGAGACCAAAGUCAGUGGUGGUGCGAUGGGUAGGAGCUCCCUCCUGUUGGCAGCACAGCCAUGGACUGAGUCCAUGCGGGUAGCUACGAAGUCGUCCACCAGGUUGUCGAAGGCUGCCUCCAGGGCCCGGAGAUACUCAAUGAGCAUCUCAAAAGCCUCGUCUCAUUCUCCUCUGGGGCAGGAGUAUGCGUAGUGACAGGUGUAAGGCACAUGGCACGGAAGAUAACGGUAACGACGAGUCUUCAUCACGGGAAGGACAUCCCUGAGACGAGCUAUCGCCUCACGGGCUGCCAUCUGCAUAGCAUGCCUCUUCGUAGGCAUGGCUCUUCCCACGAACCGGAAGCGGCGUAACUCACCAUGCCCUCCCUUGAACUGCACCGCGGCCUGGUGCAUUGUCAGACUAUCGUUGACUCGGUGCUGGCAGAGUGUGAAGACUGGGCGCACGGAUGGCCCCAUCGCGACCUGAAUGAUGAAAGAAAGAAGCUUGACGAACCCAUCGGGCACGUUGGCGAAGGUCUGAGCCUCGCAGCUGUUGUCAGCCAUCUACAAAAGUAGGCAAAAAUUCUGCAGGGUCAGAUCAUAAAUUUAUGCUGACUGACAGAAAAUGACUACAAUUGCAAAAAUAUAAAUUAUCUCUAUCAUGCUAAUAACUAAUUAGCGAUCGCACCUAGUGGCUUCCUACAGUCAGCCUGGCUCUGGUACCAAGCUUGUCACGACCGGUUUUCCAAUAAAAAUAUUUAUUGAGAAACCAAUCUUUUGAGUCCAGUAUGAGAGAAAUCCUCCUCACUGGUAGACAAUUUCUUGAUACAAUAAGCCAGUAGCAAAAAAUAUAUUACAGGGUCGAACUACGGUUGCUCAACCAAAUUAUUACAAGCAUGCCAAUAAUUAUACAUAAUGGCGGACAUGUCACACUGGUGUGGAGGCAUACUACUGACUCGAGGAUAGGGCGGUGGUGGAAAAACACAGCGGGGAGAGAAAUACAAGACUCUAAGUCUAUCAUCUCAUCGAGCGUCGAGGUGAGGCUCGAUGAAUUUAUUUGGUAGCGGAAGCGGAUAUAAAACAGUGACCAAAUCCAGGGUCGCACGAGACUGACUGGGACUCCUCUAAGUGUCGGACUCGCUAUCAAACUCUUCAUCCAUGAGAUCGCCUUCGUCAGCAUCUGGCCAAAUCAACAAGCCAGUGAGUACUUUGAAAGUACUCACAAGACAGUUCGGACGUAAGAUAUAACAAAUGCAUGCAUGGAUGCGACAUGAAUAAAUUCACCAAUGUACAUUUUCAAAAAUUAGCAUAACAAGGUAAGUAAAAGGGGAACGGCGGUAGUCCGCCUGAAAUCCCAACAGAACAUAAAUAAUUACCGAUCGGGUGUCUGAAGCGACGCCUCGAAAGGUGAACAAAUAAAUAUAAGGAAAAUGAUGCCACAGUCGGGCGUCUUAGCGACACCACAUAAAGGGCUUAAAAAGAAAUACCACAGUCGGACGUCGGGGCGACGUCACAGAAAGGGUUUUAAAAGAAAUGCCACAGUCGGACGUCGGGGCGACAUCACAGAAAGGGCUUUAAAAGAAAUGCCACAGUCGGACAUCGGGACGACAUCACAGAAAGGGCUUUAAAAGAAAUGCCACAGUCNNNNNNNNNNNNNNNNNNNNNNNNNNNNNNNNNNNNNNNNNNNNNNNNNNNNNNNNNNNNNNNNNNNNNNNNNNNNNNNNNNNNNNNNNNNNNNNNNNNNNNNNNNNNNNNNNNNNNNNNNNNNNNNNNNNNNNNNNNNNNNNNNNNNNNNNNNNNNNNNNNNNNNNNNNNNNNNNNNNNNNNNNNNNNNNNNNNNNNNNNNNNNNNNNNNNNNNNNNNNNNNNNNNNNNNNNNNNNNNNNNNNNNNNNNNNNNNNNNNNNNNNNNNNNNNNNNNNNNNNNNNNNNNNNNNNNNNNNNNNNNNNNNNNNNNNNNNNNNNNNNNNNNNNNNNACGACAUCACAGAAAGGGCUUUAAAAGAAAUACCACAGUCGGACGUCGGGGCGACAUCACAGAAAGGGCUUUAAAAGAAAUGCCACAGUCGGACAUCGGGGCGACAUCACAGAAAGGGCUUUGAUUCACAAGUAAAUAAUACUCAUAAUAAACAUUUAAUUCAUGAGAAUAAAUGGGUUAGUCCAUCCACAGGAAUAUUCAAUUAACCGGAAUUAGCACUCAUGCGAAUCACCGGAGUCUCUGUCAUCAAAACUGACAUUUGAUUAGGAUAAGAUAAUAUCGAUCUAGGACAUGGAAUAGAUGAUUUUGAGGAAAUAUAUGACUCUGCAGAGUUUGUACAAAAUUAUUCCCACAGCCAACGGAUUUCCGUAGUCACUAAGGACUAGUUCCGUUUACGGUAUUUCGGAAGAAAACACAGCUAACCAGUACACACCCAUCCUACCUCUCGAUGCUAGGAAUCACCCUAGACAUCGUCCAAAAAAAACUUUUGAGACGGGGAGAUCACAAUCUCGAAUAGCAUCGGAUCAAAUUUAUAUACGCGCGCUCUAAGGGGUGCCCCCCCUCUCGGUCCCAACCGGAAACACCCAUGCCCCCUGACCGGAUGACUGGCUUUAAUCCAGGGUCGUGGAACCAUCAUCACGGCCUCUCCUUUUGGUGUGUACCAGAAAAGCGGUUUGCAACUUACUAAACCAUAUUCCUUGCGGACAACAUGUGGUAGUACAGGGAAGGAAAUGAGAGGAACUGGACCGAUACAGUUUGACACUGAAGUCACAUAGUCUGGCAUAAGACUGGCAUGCUACGACACUGCCAUCUUACCCAUCCUCAUGCCAACACAUGGCCAUUCAUACUCACAUCCAUCCACUUAUGGAUCAUCGAACUCACUUACCUCAUUAUCGCAUAAAAUAACAUUCAUCGAUAUGCUUCUCAACAUGCUAUGAAACUAACUAAAUGCAAAACAUGCCAAGACACUCAUCAUAUCAAAAGUUCAAACAUGCUUGCCUGGUUCAGAGUAGUCGGAGCCUAGCUCGGUGAAGUUCGCGGCUCCGUCACCUCCUUCGGUAUCUACGGUAUAAAGAAAAUAUAUGCGCUAUCGUAAAUACCAAGGAGUGCACAGAAAGUAUACCAAAUAUUUUUCAAAUAAAUCUGAUAAAAAACUAGACAAAAUUUUGAAGAGAACAGAAAAAGAAUCAAUCAAAAAUACUUUUCUGCUUAAAAGUUAUAAGGGUUUUUGCCCAGGGACUAAUCUGUAAUGAAACAAAAGAUUUCCAGGGGCUAGCUUAUAAAAACAGAAAACGCUUCGGCAGAAACUACGCCAGCCCAAAGGGAAAAUGUACUUUGCCCGAAGGCGCUUCCAGAAAACGUUUCAACAGCGAGAGCAGAGAGGCUGACGGUGGGGUCCCACGCGUCAGGUUUGAAUUUCAGAAAGGGGGAGCGAAGCUCGUCGGCGCCCGAGAGCCAUGGUCACCGGCGGCGAUCCACGGCGAGGUAGGGGGAUUGGAGGGUACCUCCGUGCUUAGGGCGCCAUUCCGCGUCGGUUGGUGGUGGUGGUGGUCGCCGGCGAGUACCACGUCGACGGCGAGCUUUGCUCCGGCGGACGGCGGCUCGGGUGGUCGAGGAACUCGUCGGAGAGAGCUGCAGAGAUCAAAUUGACGAGGGGGUUAGGCUCCUAGUAGCUAGAGAGGGUAACGGACGGGGUUUGGGCGCCGGAGGUGGCCUCACCGGAGCGAAUCGAGGUGGCGGCCGAGGCGGAUCGGGGCGGCCGGAGUUGGGUGGGGAGACCUCCUCGGGGUCCCCCUAGUGGCCUGGCAUGGCGUUGGUGAGGAGUGGGGAUGAGGCGUGCACGAGGGUGAGCUCGGGGGCCCUUUUUAUAGGCAGCCCGAGGCGGUUGCCGUGAACGGGGAUCUCCGGCGAGUGAUUACGGCGGUGCCGGGGAUGUGCAGGGGGAUCAGGUCUAGGGCUUCGUCGUUGAGGUCCACCGGUCCCAUUUAGGUGCUAAACGAGCUGGGACUUGGUGCUGAGGGUGAGCUCGACGGAACGGGGGUGGCGCGGCACGUCGGCGGUAGGGAGCAUGUUCCGUGCUUGCCGGGCCACGGCGACGGUGCCACGGGCGUGCGCUGGCACGGCAGGGACACGCGGAGAGCCAAGGGGCUUUGGGCGGCGCCGGGUGGCGUGGCGAGAGGGCUCGGGCCCUUGUUUGCCGCCACGGGAGGUGCAGCCACCGCAGAAGCUCCCAACGCCGGCGAGGCUCGCUGCUACCGACGCCAGGAAGGCUCCACGCACGCGUGUGAAGCUCCGGACAGGAGGGAGAGGCUGCGAGGAACGUGCCAAGUGCACUGUCUACGCGUGAGAGGAACUGACGAAUGCAAACGACACUGAAACUGAAUUUUUCUGAAUUUUGAACAGCAGCAGUGCAUGCAAGGUGUUCGACAGAAUGAAAUUGGCAUCUAGGGAUUUUUCCUUGAGCUGAAACUUGGUGGAGUGGCUUCUCGUUGCUCAAGUAGGCUGCCUAAAUUUUGGUGGAAUUUUUGGGGAAGUGUAGAUAUGAAUUUCAUCAAAUUUGGCAAAUCUAGUCCAAACUUGCAGAGACUGAAUUUUGAAAAUUUUGAAAAGAGGAGGAGUGGAUCAAGAUGGUUCUGGGUUGUGGGUACAAAGGACUAUCCAGGAGAGUUGGUUUGAGGUCAAAACUCAAAUGCAAUAUGGUACUUGCUUUGAAAAUCCCUCAGGCUCCAAAUAAUUUUCAGAUUUGUUUUGAGAGGAAAAAUAAUUAGAAUAAAAUCCAAAACUUGUUUGGAUUAGUUGGGACAGAGGACUUAGGUUGAUCACAAGGUGUAGGGGAGGUUUUGGAGGGGUUUUACCACAUGGGAACAAUGCAAAGUCAAGGGUGAUUCCAAGAUAUGAAAAUCCCCAAAUUUUCAUAGAGUUUCAUUUUAAAAGAAAACAAUUUAAACUCCCAAAAAUAAAUUUGAGAGAGAACCAACAGAGAAGAAGUUUCAAAAGAUCAAACACCAAAGUUUGAAAAAAUAAUAUCCUUGCCAAAGCAAAGGAAGUUUUUAAGUGGAAGGUUUUUCUGAAAAAGAAAAAUUUUAAAAAGCCUCUCCUCAAAAACCACAAAGUUUUUUUGAUAAAAACCAAAUAAAAAUUUUGGAGUGUCACACUUCUACAAGGAUUAGCAUUGGAGAUUCUGUUUUGUUUAGCAAAGGAUUACAGAUUGCAGAAAUAUGCCUGCAACGAUUUCUUUCCCUUUUCCCUUGGAAUCAUCCUUUUGUAGUUCUCCGUUAAUCAUCUUCACACAAUUAACCAAGAACUCAACCGAUGUUUAUGAGUUGACCUUAAGGCUUAAUGUUUCUCUACAUUGGUUGUCCUAAAUCUAUCACACAUUUGUGCAUGAUAGAAAAUAUGUCACACUGAAUUUCUUCUGAACUUCUUCUGAGAUGUAACAACACAAGCAGUAAAAACAAGUAAGCAAACCUACCAAUCGAGCUUUGAAUGAAUUUGUAAAAUAAAUACACAAUCCAUGUUGCGUCCACACCAAUUAAUAAAUUCAGCCUCAAGUUUCUACAGCCACAUCAAUUUGAAAAAUCGAGAGGAAAAUCCAAAGCUGCAAAAUCCACUGUCGCAAAUUUUAAGAAUUUUACAGUAAUAUCUCUCUCUCAAAUAGUUAUUUUAUCAAACCAGAGAUGAUUAAGAACUUGUAGAUUUCCCGUUACUAAGUCCUGUUUGGUGCUUGCAUUGCUGUAACAGCCAACCUAAUUUAUUUUUUGACAAAUCCCACAACCAUGUCAACAUCCAGCAGUGGCACCGAGAGCACAAAAGUAUAAAAUUGUACCCCUAAGAUAGCUGAAACUAAAUUAGAAAGUGUGCAAUUCGAUGAGACACUCUCACCAUCUGAUGAAAUUGAUGUAGCUAGUGUCAUUGUCGAGGGUGAAGGACGCGUCUGUAUUCCUAUCCAUCUUGCCAGUCACCAUCCCAACGAGCCUGGCCAUUAGACCACCCAACCUGGACAGCCGUGUCACAAGCCAAUCUCGAUGAACACAAAGCUGAGAGAUGCAUAUAGUGGGCACUCACCUUGGCUGUCUCGACGCGAGUCAUCCUUCUCGUC
rnacentral:lncRNA from 1 species